GGGCGGGGGCCGGGGCGCUCCUGUGGGAAGGGAGGGGUGAAAGGUCGCUGGUCCCCGGCAACACGGCUCAGGCAAACGUAAGCGGCUUGUCGCAGAAACCAAGGGGUCCACGAAACGCGCUAGGCUAGAAGGCGGGAAGGAGAGAUUACUGACAGCCGUGCCAGCCAAUAAAAUAGAAAUCAACAGUGAGAGCUCAGAAAUUCCCAGACUGUUUUGAUGAUAAGGUCCAAGAACUUGCCAUGUGAUCCAUCACUACUAGACUCCCACAACUGCAUUAGAUUUGUUCAGGAUUUUCAUAUAAUUUUCAUAACUGGCUAAGUUCUGAAAUAACCCAUCUUGAAGACAUAAACAAUGUGCAUUGAUGGCUAGCCAGACUCUGUCCUGCCACAGUUCUCCUCCUACUCUUCAUUUCUUACCCCAAGGAGUAGUAAACAUGAAUCCUGACCCACCAAUGCAGUCCCAGAACUGAGAAAAGAUUCACUGCAGCUAAACAGUAGGUAGAAAUAAAAACAAUGACUCAAUUCAAUAAUAUUAAGUGUGUUGGGAAGACAGUCUCCAAGAGAAACGAUAAAUAACCUACAUAAUGAAGAAUUAGUUAGCAGUGUUAUGUAAAUAUUGUAGCAGCAUCAAUGAGGAGGAUUAUUUUUGCACCUUUGGAAAGCAACUGAAAAAGGAAGCCUGGAAAAAAUCCUGCCUAACAAAGCAGCAGUACUCAAAUAGCUUUAACUAUAAGAAAGAACUGAUUCAAGAUAUGAGAAGAGAUUUAAGAUAUAAGAUUAAAUAUAAGUGUAAAUGAUAUCCUCAUUUUUAUUGAAAUGCUGUGUAUUCCUAUUAUUUCAGUGAAAUGUUAAAUGGCAAAGGAUGCAUUUUUUAGAUUAUUUUUUUCACUGAAUUUUAAACAGUCUUUGAAGCAGAUAUUUCAUAUAACAAUAUCCAGAAACAAUAACACAUAUGUGGAUAAAGUUGAGUGGUUGGAUAAUGUAUUGUGCAAAUUAUCAAGAAGAAAACCAUCUUAAAGAAAUAUUUUAGCUUAACAGCAUCAAUAAAUGGGACACCUAGUUCACUUAAAAAAA
ensembl:lncRNA NOVA1-DT NOVA1 divergent transcript